CGGGUACACCCACACCGCCGCUCACGACAGCCCACCCUCCCCGCCCUCUACUUAUCACCUCCGCACUUUUCUUGUGCCGACGCACUGCUUGCACAGCAACACUCUGAGCUGCACACACAGCGAUACACACCUACACACACCCCUCCUUUUGCCGCCUACUCUCUCCACCAUCAUGUCCAGCGUCAACGACUCGGAUGUGAUUGCGGAGGAUGCCGGCAUGCGUGCCAGCACCGCGUCGACGCACACUCGUUGCCUUUAGCUGUCGCUGUGCGUUUCCGCUGUGGGGCCGGACAACAACUGUAACCCGCUUGCGUGUGGCCAGUACUUUGAUGAAGCGCGCAUCUGCCGGCGAGUAGAGCCGGCGAUUUCACGGGCUCACCUGAACGACUUUGUGUGUGCCGCCGCACCGCGAGACGGAGGCGAGGCCCGAGAUCGACCUCUACACUUCGUGCAGGUUUGUAUGGGUCGCUGUUUGCCGCUGACUGUGGCGACAUCUGCGCCGCCCUAGACCUCGUCGCCGUGCUGAAGAACGGUGUUGCGACCGCUGCUGCUGCCGCGCCUGCCGCUGAGAAGGAUGAGUGCUGUGCGCGUGACGGACUGGCUGACGCGGAUGCCUGUGGCCGUGAUCCUUCUUCGUUUGCAGCUGCCUCACGGGGACGCUGGCCAGAAAGAGAAUGCGCAGGCGAGUCUCGAGUUCACUCGCGUGAUCUUCACGUCUGUGCUUGGCGGUGACCACUUCUACGCCCUUCCGCCACGGCACUAGGCACACAGGGCGGGCUGGCCGAUUAGUAUGAGCCACAACUUCAACUGAUUGACUGGAGUGAAGAACGCCGGCGCGGAGGUUCUAAAGCGGGCCAUGGAGCGGUGCGAGACAGUGAAGACCUUUUCACCGACGCCUCCGAGUGUGCAGGCACUAGGUGCGAGCCUGGCGGAGGUCUACACCGCUUCGCCCCUGGCGGCGAACACGCCGGUCCAUGCCAACUUCCAAGGUGCUCGGUACAUCUGUGACGAGACGGUAGUUGGGAUGUCGCUGAUCCAGAGUGUCUAUGGGAAGCGGCUGCUCUGUGCCAUGGGCGGGUGCGGGCGUAGUGCCAAGGUAUGCGAUCCGAUCGGGUGUAUCGUGGCGCGCUGGCUGCCAGGCAAGGCACUAUCGCCGGACUUUGCCCUCGCGGAGAAGCUGUUCCGCCGGAUAACUGCUAUGCAUGUAUGAAUAUAUUACAUAUUAUAUACGUGUACUUGGGCUUUGUUUUUUGCCCUUCCUUUUUUUUUUUGCUGUUUAGUCACCUCGACGGUGCGCGGUGACGUCCAUCGCACACCCGCACCCACCCCAUCUGACUAUACAUCACCGUCUCGGUGACUUUGUGAAGCGCAGCCUCUCCUCCUUUUCACGGUCUUCGGAUUUUUUUUCUUCGGCUUUCAUCUCUUUCUCCGUCUGCCCUCUGUGUGUGUGUUUAGGUGGUAGUGGUGGUGUGGGGAGCCGCCAAGCAGCCCCGCAUCCCCUGCCGAAUGCCG
rnacentral:misc_RNA from 1 species